rnacentral:rRNA from 1 species
GGUGAAAAGCACCCCGGAAGGGGAGUGAAAUAGAACCUGAAACCGUGUGCUUACAAGUAGUCAGAGCCCGUUAAUGGGUGAUGGCGUGCCUUUUGUAGAAUGAACCGGCGAGUUACGAUUUGAUGCAAGGUUAAGCAGUAAAUGUGGAGCCGUAGCGAAAGCGAGUCUGAAUAGGGCGUUUAGUAUUUGGUCGUAGACCCGAAACCAGGUGAUCUACCCUUGGUCAGGUUGAAGUUCAGGUAACACUGAAUGGAGGACCGAACCGACUUACGUUGAAAAGUGAGCGGAUGAACUGAGGGUAGCGGAGAAAUUCCAAUCGAACCUGGAGAUAGCUGGUUCUCUCCGAAAUAGCUUUAGGGCUAGCCUCAAGUGAUGAUUAUUGGAGGUAGAGCACUGUUUGGACGAGGGGCCCCUCUCGGGUUACCGAAUUCAGACAAACUCCGAAUGCCAAUUAAUUUAACUUGGGAGUCAGAACAUGGGUGAUAAGGUCCGUGUUCGAAAGGGAAACAGCCCAGACCACCAGCUAAGGUCCCAAAAUAUAUGUUAAGUGGAAAAGGAUGUGGCGUUGCCCAGACAACUAGGAUGUUGGCUUAGAAGCAGCCAUCAUUUAAAGAGUGCGUAAUAGCUCACUAGUCGAGUGACACUGCGCCGAAAAUGUACCGGGGCUAAAC